UACGUAGGGGGCGAGCGUUGUCCGGAAUCAUUGGGCGUAAAGAGCGCGUAGGCGGCUAGAUAAGUCCGGUGUGAAAGUCACAGGCUCAACCUGUGAAUGCCGCUGGAAACUGUCUGGCUAGAGUCCGGAAGGGGCGAGUGGAAUUCCUGGUGUAGCGGUGAAAUGCGCAGAUAUCAGGAGGAACACCAAUGGCGAAGGCAGCUCGCUGGGACGGUACUGACGCUGAGGCGCGAAAGCGUGGGGAGCAAACAGG
rnacentral:rRNA from 1 species